UAAGCCGUAAAACACACUGUGUUUUUUUCUGAAGUAGACCACAGCUACACAGCUUCCCUUUGUGCCUAUUGCGGACAAUUAUUUGACGUCAAUAUUUUUUUAUUAAUUUUUCUGUUAGGUGAUGGGGUAGGGUGUCCGACAUCAAUUUUGCACUUUCUUUCAAAAAAAUAAACUAAGCCGAAGAACACCCUGUGUUUUUCUCAAGUAAACCGCAGCUACCCGACCUUCCUUUGCACCUAGUGCGGACAAAAGUAUUGCCGUACAAUAUUUUUUAUUAACUUUUCUGUAAGGUAGCGGGGUUGGGUGUCUGUUCCUAAAUUUGGACCUACGUUCCAAAAAAAAACUGUGCGGAAGAACACCUUGGGUUUCUUCUCCAGUACACCUCAGCUACCCAGCUUCCCUUUGCACCUAGUGCAGACACAAGUAUUGCCGUAGAACAUUUUUUAUUAACUUUUCUGUAAGUGUAAGGUAGACUGUAAGGUAAUAAGACUGACGGACUAAAUCUUUGAACCUACAUAAAAAACAAUAAACUAAGCCGUAAAACACACUGUGUUUUUUCUGAAGUAGACCACAGCUACACAGCUUCCCUUUGUGCCUAUUGCGGACAAUUAUUUGACGUCAAUAUUUUUUAUUAAUUUUUCUGUUAGGUGAUGGGGUAGGGUGUCCGACAUCAAUUUUGCACUUUCUUUCAAAAAAAUAAACUAAGCGCUAGCGAGAACACCCUGUGUUUAUUCUCAAGUAAACCACAGUACCCGACCUUCUUUGACUAGUGCGGAAAGUAUUGCCGUACAAUAUUUUUUUAUUAACUUUUCUGUAAGGUCGGGGUUGGGUGUCUGUUCCUAAAUUUGGACCUAGUUCCAAAAAAACUGUGCCGAAGACACCUUGGGUUUCUUCUCCAGUACACCUCAGCUACCAGCUUCCCUUUGCACCUAGUGCAGCACAAGUAUUGCCGUAGAACUUUUUAUUAACUUUUCUGUAAGGUAAUGUAGCUGUAAGUAAUAAGACUGACGGACUAAUCUUGAACUAUACAAAAAACUAAUACGUAAACACACUGUGUUUUUUCUGAGUAGACCACAGCUCACAGCUUCCUUUGUGCCUUGCGAGAAUUAUUUGACGUCAAUAUUUUUUUAUUAUUUUUCUGUUAGGUGUGGGUAGAGGUGUCGACAUCAAUUUUGCACUUUCUUUCAAAAAAUAAACUAAGCGAAGAACACCUGUGUUUUUCAGUAAACCCAGUACCGACCUUCCUUUGCACCUAGUGCGGACAAAAGUAUUGCCGUACAAUAUUUUAUUAACUUUUCUGUAAGGUAGCGGGGUUGGGUGUCUGUUCCUAAAUUUGGACCUACGUUCCAAAAAAACUGUGCCGAAGAACACCUUGGGUUUCUUCUCCAGUACAC
rnacentral:lncRNA from 1 species